rnacentral:lncRNA from 1 species
CCCUGAAAGAAAAUCAGCAUUUCCACUCAGGAAACGCCCUGGAAACACGGCGGAAAAACUCGUCCGUUGCCCAGUGACCGCCCGCGUCAUCGCCUCAUUUCUGAUUGUUUUGGGGAAAAACAGCCUUUUUGCCAGGACCCCCCCCCC